GAAUGCUGACAUAAGUAACGAUAAAGCGGGUGAAAAGCCCGCUCGCCGGAAGACCAAGGGUUCCUGUCCAACGUUAAUCGGGGCAGGGUGAGUCGACCCCUAAGGCGAGGCCGAAAGGCGUAGUCGAUGGGAAACGGGUUAAUAUUCCCGUACUUGGUGUUACUGCGAAGGGGGGACGGAGAAGGCUAUGUUGGCCGGGCGACGGUUGUCCCGGUUUAAGCGUGUAGGUGUGUGUUCCAGGUAAAUCCGGUUCACUUUAACACUGAGGCGUGACGACGAGGCACUACGGUGCUGAAGCAACAAAUGCCCUGCUUCCAGGAAAAGCCUCUAAGCAUCAGGUAACAUCAAAUCGUACCCCAAACCGACACAGGUGGUCAGGUAGAGAAUACCAAGGCGCUUGAGAGAACUCGGGUGAAGGAACUAGGCAAAAUGGUGCCGUAACUUCGGGAGAAGGCACGCUGACACGUAGGUGAAGUGAUUUACUCAUGGAGCUGAAGUCAGUCGAAGAUACCAGCUGGCUGCAACUGUUUAUUAAAAACACAGCACUGUGCAAACACGAAAGUGGACGUAUACGGUGUGACGCCUGCCCGGUGCCGGAAGGUUAAUUGAUGGGGUCAGCGCAAGCGAAGCUCCUGAUCGAAGCCCCGGUAAACGGCGGCCGUAACUAUAACGGUCCUAAGGUAGCGAAAUUCCUUGUCGGGUAAGUUCCGACCUGCACGAAUGGCGUAAUGAUGGCCAGGCUGUCUCCACCCGAGACUCAGUGAAAUUGAACUCGCUGUGAAGAUGCAGUGUACCCGCGGCAAGACGGAAAGACCCCGUGAACCUUUACUAUAGCUUGACACUGAACAUUGAGCCUUGAUGUGUAGGAUAGGUGGGAGGCUUUGAAGUGUGGACGCCAGUCUGCAUGGAGCCGACCUUGAAAUACCACCCUUUAAUGUUUGAUGUUCUAACGUGGACCCGUUACCCGGGUUGCGGACAGUGUCUGGUGGGUAGUUUGACUGGGGCGGUCUCCUCCUAAAGAGUAACGGAGGAGCACGAAGGUUGGCUAAUCCUGGUCGGACAUCAGGAGGUUAGUGCAAUGGCAUAAGCCAGCUUGACUGCGAGCGUGACGGCGCGAGCAGGUGCGAAAGCAGGUCAUAGUGAUCCGGUGGUUCUGAAUGGAAGGGCCAUCGCUCAACGGAUAAAAGGUACUCCGGGGAUAACAGGCUGAUACCGCCCAAGAGUUCAUAUCGACGGCGGUGUUUGGCACCUCGAUGUCGGCUCAUCACAUCCUGGGGCUGAAGUAGGUCCCAAGGGUAUGGCUGUUCGCCAUUUAAAGUGGUACGCGAGCUGGGUUUAGAACGUCGUGAGACAGUUCGGUCCCUAUCUGCCGUGGGCGCUGGAGAACUGAGGGGGGCUGCUCCUAGUACGAGAGGACCGGAGUGGACGCAUCACUGGUGUUCGGGUUGUCAUGCCAAUGGCACUGCCCGGUAGCUAAAUGCGGAAGAGAUAAGUGCUGAAAGCAUCUAAGCACGAAACUUGCCCCGAGAUGAGUUCUCCCUGAGACUUAAAGUCUCCUGAAGGAACGUUGAAGACGACGACGUUGAUAGGCCGGGUGUGUAAGCGCAGCGAUGCGUUGAGCUAACCGGUACUAA
rnacentral:rRNA from 1 species